rnacentral:tRNA from 1 species
GAUGUUGUGGCUCAGUGGUAGAGCACUUGCCUAGCAUAUGUUAGGCUGAGUUCGAUCCUCAGCAUCA